rnacentral:rRNA from 1 species
CAGUAGCCGCGGUAAAACGGAGGGUGCAAGCGUUAAUCGGAAUUACUGGGCGUAAAGCACACGCAGGCGGUUUGUUAAGUCAGAUGUGAAAUCCCCGAGCUUAACUUGGGAACUGCAUUUGAAACUGGCAAGCUAGAGUCUUGUAGAGGGGGGUAGAAUUCCAGGUGUAGCGGUGAAAUGCGUAGAGAUCUGGAGGAAUACCGGUGGCGAAGGCGGCCCCCUGGACAAAGACUGACGCUCAGGUGCGAAAGCGCGGGGAGCAAACAGGAUUAGAUACCCGCGUAGUCCCUGUCUCUUAUAC